CGGGUGGCUUGCUGCACGUUUGUUUCGGCUGUGCAGGCUUGAAUGGUUCUUUUCGUCCUGCUUGCGUGCUGUGAAGGGACCUCAAGCAAGCUCCGAAGUUGAGACAUGGCUACAAUUGGGAAGACCAUCAUAUUGAAGAACAUUGUCAAAAUUCUAGAAGACAUGAAAGGCAUGAAAGAAGUCAUAUUGGAGAGAAACCCUAUGAACGUAAUCAAUGUGCACUUUUGAGACAGAGGCAGGCGGAUUUCUGAGUUCAAGGCAAGCCUGGUCUACAAAUCUUGCAAUCUGUUCAUUUAGUGCUUUGAUUUCGGCUGUGAGUGACUCCAGCUUGGACUCAUCUACCUUGUACAAGUCCUCUGCAGACAAAGCCCAAUCACCUCAUCAGAAUCGACUCACAACGCUCUCCAGGUUUUCAGCAGCUUGUUCCCUCACUUCCCCAAACCAUGGAUGUGGCAGAUGCUGCCUUGUGUACUGGCCAGCUUCCUUUUUCUCCUGGAAUGUCCCGUUGCUCUUAGCCUGCUUAAGCUUUCUUCCACCGUACCUGUUGCUGUUUGCCUAUAGUUCCUCACUGAAUUUCCAUUCCUUUCUACCUAACAGAAUAUGAGUUCCCGAGGCCAAGGUUUUCUGUUCUUCAUUACUCUAUGUUUGGUGCCUGACACUUGGGUACAUAAUAUUUGAGUAGAUUCAUUUAUGUGUUUAAUUAUAUAUACACGCCGGGCAUGGUGGCAAAUGUCUUUAAUCCCAGCACUCUGGAGGCAGGGACAGGCAGAUUUCUGAGUUCGAGGCCAGCCUGGCCUACGAAGUGAGUUCCAGGACAGCCAGGGCUAUACAGAGAAACCCUGUCUCAAGAAAAAAAAAAUUAUAUAUACACAUAUCAAGUAAUUCAUAAAUUAUGUCCACAUUAGAACAAAAUGAAUUUUCCUUUGUGUGUGUUAUGUACACUUAUGUGUCAUGAGUCUGCAUGUGUGCACAUAGAAGCCAAUGGUUGAGGUUGUGUAUCUUCUCCAGUCAUUAUCAUCUUGUGACUUUAGAUAAAUCUCUCUGCAAACCUAGAGGUCCCUGAUGUGGUCAGAUUGGCUGGUCCGCAAGCUCUAGGGAUCUAUCUCAAGCACCUACCUCCCUAGUGCUGAGAUUAUGGACACGUGCCGCACUUGUGCUUUUAUGUGUGUGGGAUCCAGACUCAGGAUCCAUGCUUGCUGAGGAUAUACUUCACUGACUGAACCGUGUCUCUAGCCCUGACUUUUGCCUUCCUAAAUCAAUCCAUCUACUCCUUGGGCUCUCCUUGUCACCCUUUAGGAUGACACAAUCCUGAAAAUUCUAAGGGAAUGCUUCUGGUUUCCCUCUCACCUUGGGUGUCACAUGGGUGUCAGGGUGACUUUCCCAUAUCACUGCAUAACACUGAAUGGAAAGUAAUUUACAGGGCUGAAGAUAUGGAUGGCUUAGUGGUUAAGAGCACUGACUAAUCUUCCGAAGAUCCUAAGUUCAAAUCCCAGCAACCACAUGUUGGCUCACAACCACUCAUAAUGAGAUCUGAUGCCCUCUUCUUGGGUGUCUGAAGACAGCUACAGUGUACUUACAUAUAAUAAAUAAAUCCUUAAAAAAAAGAAACGAAAAGAAACGAAACUUACUUGGAAACUCCAUGGCCUGCUUACUCCCUCCCAGUUUCAAUAGAGAGACUUUACAUACUUUCCCUAAGGAGUGCUGUAACUUCUAACAUAUUAAAGCAUGGACAAAUAUCUUUUGUGUUCCCAACAAAGAACAUUUCUUAUUUUAUUUUGUGUCUUUUGAGACAGGCUUUCUCUAUGUAGUCCUGGCUGUUCUCAAACUCACUUUGAAAACCAGGGUGAAUUUGACCUCAGCAGUCGUGUUCCUUUGUAUCUUGAGUACUGGCAUUAAAGUCAUGUGCCAUCAC
rnacentral:lncRNA from 1 species